AGGUCAUCAAGUGCUUUUCUCAUAUUAUCUUCAGACAUCUUUCUGCCAUUCUAUUAAUCGUAACAAUCUGUCACUAUUAGCAUUGUUCCUUUAGGUUCUUAAUUUUUUAUCCCCAUCCAUUUUAUUUGUUUUUGUUGAAUUUUUUCAGUUACUUUAAGAAACUGGUAGCCAAAAAAUUGCCAGUUCAAAGUGGGUCAAUGGGUUAUUUUUGAGUGCAUAUCACAAUCUGUUCCACAUGGGAUAUACGUGAUGAGAAGAGGAAUCACCAAACAUGGUGUGUGCAAGGUAGGAUAGGAGAACCUUAUUUUUUUGACCCUGAGGGAGAUCUGUUCUGUAUAGCAACUUAUUAAACUAUCUAUUAUUUUUUUUCUAUGUUGAUGCGUUUGAAAUUCAUUUUGCAUGUCUGCAUCUCAUAGUUAGGACAUUGGUGAAUUUUAGUUGUGCCUAAGUAUCUGUCAUUAGUAUUAUUGAUGUUCCUUUCUUGUUUUUUCUUCUGACUGACAUAUAUGCUUGGUCAAUGGUCACAGUUGAUCUUAUCUAAUUCUUUGCAAUU
rnacentral:misc_RNA from 1 species